rnacentral:rRNA from 1 species
UACGUAGGGUGCAAGCGUUGUCCGGAUUUAUUGGGCGUAAAGAGCUCGUAGGCGGUUCGGCAAGUCGGAUGUGAAAACUCAGGGCUCAACCCGGAGACGCCAUCCGAUACUGCUGUGACUUGAGUCUGGUAGGGGAACACGGAAUACCUGGUGUAGCGGUGAAAUGCGCAGAUAUCAGGUGGAACACCGAUGGCGAAGGCAGUGUUCUGGGCCAGUACUGACGCUGAGGAGCGAAAGCGUGGGGAGCAAACAGG